UACAGAGGUGGCAAGCGUUGUUCGGAAUUACUGGGCGUAAAGGGCGCGUAGGCGGCCUUCUAAGUCGGACGUGAAAUCCCCGGGCUCAACCCGGGAACUGCGUCCGAUACUGGAAGGCUUGAAUCCGGGAGAGGGAUGCGGAAUUCCAGGUGUAGCGGUGAAAUGCGUAGAUAUCUGGAGGAACACCGGUGGCGAAGGCGGCAUCCUGGACCGGUAUUGACGCUGAGGCGCGAAAGCCAGGGGAGCAAACGGG
rnacentral:rRNA from 1 species